rnacentral:piRNA from 1 species
UGGUGUCUGCUCUCUAGGAGGUAAACUA